CACGAAGGGCCCGAGCGUUGCGCGGAAUCAUUGGGCUUAAAGCGUACGUAGGCUGGCGCGCAGGCGUUUUUGUGAAAGCCCUCGGCUCAACCGAGGAACUGCUUGGCGAACCGCGCGUCUUGAGGCGGGUAGGGGCUGUCGGAACGAUAGGUGGAGUGGUGAAAUGCGUUGAUAUCUAUCGGAACGCCGAAGGAGAAAUCAGACAGCUGGGCCUGUCCUGACGCUGAGGUACGAAAGCGUGGGGAGCGAACGGGAUUAGAUACCCCCGUA
rnacentral:rRNA from 1 species